rnacentral:rRNA from 1 species
CAGUAGCCGCGGUAAUACGUAGGGUGCGAGCGUAAUCGGAAUUACUGGGCGUAAAGCGUGCGCAGGCGGUUUUGUAAGACAGGCGUGAAAUCCCCGGGCUCAACCUGGGAAUGGCGCUUGUGACUGCAAAGCUAGAGUGCGGCAGGGGGGGAUGGAAUUCCGCGUGUAGCAGUGAAAUGCGUAGAUAUGCGGAGGAACACCGAUGGCGAAGGCAAUCCCCUGGGCCUGCACUGACGCUCAUGCACGAAAGCGUGGGGAGCAAACAGGAUUAGAUACCCCGGUAGUCCCUGUCUCUUAUACA